GCCCUUGUAGCUCAAUGGAUAAGAGCAGUCCAUUUGUAAUGGACCGAUUAGUGUUCGAUUCACUGCGGGGGCA